UGGCUCAGACGGUAAAGCGUCUGCCUGCAAUGCGGGGGACCCGGGUUCGAUUCCUGG
rnacentral:tRNA from 1 species